rnacentral:rRNA from 1 species
GACGAACGCUGGCGGCGUGCUUAACACAUGCAAGUCGAGCGGAAAGGCCACUUCGGUGGUACUCGAGCGGCGAACGGGUGAGUAACACGUGAGUAAUCUGCCCUUGGCCUUGGGAUAGCCACCGGAAACGGUGAUUAAUACCGGAUACGACCACUUCUCGCAUGGGAUGGUGGUGGAAAGUUUUUUCGGCCAGGGAUGUGCUCGCGGCCUAUCAGCUUGAUGGUGAGGUAAUGGCUCACCAUGGCUUCGACGGGUAGCCGGCCUGAGAGGGUGACCGGUCACACUGGGACUGAGACACGGCCCAGACUCCUACGGGAGGCAGCAGUGGGGAAUAUUGGACAAUGGGCGGAAGCCUGAUCCAGCAACGCCGCGUGAGGGAUGACGGCCUUCGGGUUGUAAACCUCUUUCAGCAGGGACGAAGCGCAAGUGACGGUACCUGCAGAAGAAGCACCGGCCAACUACGUGCCAGCAGCCGCCGUAACAC